GUUCAUCUCUCAGGACCUCUGGAUGUUCCCAAAUAUUUUGAUGUUCCACCCAGAGGCUGCCAGGGCCAUCCUAGAGUACCGAAUCCGUACGUUGGGAGGAGCUCUGAAGAAUGCCCAAAACCUGGGCUACCAGGGAGCCAAGUUUGCCUGGGAGAGUGCAGGCACUGGCCUGGAAGUUUGCCCGGAGGACAUUUAUGGGACCCAGGAGAUCCACAUCAAUGGGGCCGUGGUGUUGGCCUUUCAGCUGUACUACUAUUACACUCAGGUAAGGCACUGUCAGAUGUGUGCCCCUGCACCUCAUGGGAUCACACUCCACCCCAAGGCCCUAGGAAGCUGUGUGAAGAAGGACUUUAGAAGCCAGGCAUGGCUUUCUCUGUGUCCCUGCAUAGAGGCUCUCUGCUAUGCCUGGUCUUUUGCCCUGUUCUCACUCUACAGGACCUGCAGCUCUUCCAAGAGGAUGGUGGCUGGGAUGUGGUCAGUUCUGUGGCUGAGUUUUGGUGCAGCCGUGUAGAAUGGAGCUCCCAGGACAAGAUGUACCACUUGAAAGGAGUCAUGCCCCCUGAUGAGUACCAUUCAGGAGUCAACAACUCCGUGUACACCAAUGUCCUGGUCCAGACCUGCACUUUGCUGCUGCUUUGGCCGAGGACUUGGGUUUGCCUGUCCCCAAACA
rnacentral:lncRNA from 1 species